rnacentral:rRNA from 1 species
UUGACCUCGGAUCAGGCAGGGAUACCCGCUGAGCUUAAGCAUAUCAAUAAGCGGAGGAGAAGACACCAACAGGGAUUGCCUCAGUAACGGCUAGUGAAGCGGCAACAGCUCAAAUCAUGAUAUCUGGCUCUUGUAGGGUCCGAGUAGUAAUAUUGUAGAGGAUGCUGCGGCGUGGGCUCCGGUCUAAGUUCCUUGGAACAGGACGUCAUAGAGGGUGAGACUCCCGUAUGUGAUCGGUCGCCUUUGCCAUGUGAAGCUCCUGCGACUAGUCGAGUUGUUUGGGACUGCAGCUCUAAAUGGGACGGUAAUUGACUCCUACAGCUAAAUACUGGGCCAGAGACCCGAUAGCGCACAAGNAGAGUGAUCGAAAAGAUGAACAUGCACUUGUGGAAAGAGAGUCAAGAAAGUACGUGAAAUGCUUGAAACGGAUCCAAGNUUGAGAAC